ensembl:lncRNA
CACCCAGUAAGAUUCUGCCUCAGGCCAGAGUGGGAGGCAAGAAUGAGGUUUUUUCCAAGCUCCCAGGUCCUAUAAGAUGUCUAGGAGCCCAGGAGGCAGCAAAGAACACAAGUCCAGCCUGGGUCCCAGUGGCAACAGAUGCUGGAGAGGUGAGGCAUCCCCAUGCUGCUGCCCAAUUGGCUGUCCCCCAAGCUCCUUCUGUGGUGGCAAUUCUUUGAUCACACUGACACUUGCUCUGAAGAUAUCUACUCCACUCAAGGUGGCCUUCUCACCUCUGGAAGGAGGCCAGGAAAGCUGCAGUUUUCGCCUCAUAUCAGGUACUCAAGUUUUUUUCAGAGGUUAUGAAGAGUUUCCCAUCCAGCAGCAUGUAGCCCAAUUUCCCAGGAAGAAGCAGGCCCUUCUCAUCCUGGGUUAAACAGAACCCUCUGUAGCAGAUGCAGUGGCUUCAUGAAGAGAGAGGCCUUAUCUUUUGGAGAGUGUAGUUGUCCAGGGCUGGGGAGGGAGCAGACUUGGGUCUGGUGCAUAGAUUGUUAAUUCUCAGUACAGAAAAGCCUCAAUUCACAGAUGAGCCAAGAUGGGAGGGAACCUUCCUGACAUAAAUUAGAUACAAAAAUUAGACAAUGCAGAUAAGAGUGGAGUCAGUUUUCCUGUGAAACUGUAAUUAUAGAACUGUUUAUUUAUUGGUACUACUGCCUAGAUUCAAGGAGAUGGGCAAAAUUACCUCUUGAUCAACCCACACAUACUUAUUUUUUAAAAUUUUAUUAAAAUAUGUUGAUUUACAAUGUUUUGCCAGUUUCUGCUGUACAGCAAAAUGACCCAGUUGUGUGUAUAUAUAUAUUCCCUUUCUUCCAUCAUGGUCUAUCCCAAGAGACUGGAUCUAGUUCCCUGUGCUGUACAGCAGGACCUUAUUGCUUAUCCAUUCUAAAUGUAAUAGUUUGCAUCUACUAACCCCAAACUCCCAUCCAUCCCUCCACCUCCUGGCAACCACAGGUCUAUUCUCUACGUCUGAACCCACAUGUACUUAUUGAGCAUCUAUUGUUUUUCCUAGAGCUGCUCUGGAGCAGGGUCUGCAAACUAUAACCCUUGGGAAAAAUUUACCCAUCUGCUUUUGUAAUAAAGUUUUAUUGGAACACA